CCUACGUGAGGCAGCAGUGAGGAAUAUUGGUCAAUGGGCGCGAGCCUGAACCAGCCAAGUAGCGUGAAGGAUGACUGCCCUACGGGUUGUAAACUUCUUUUAUAAAGGAAUAAAGUGAGGCACGUGUGCCUUUUUGUAUGUACUUUAUGAAUAAGGAUCGGCUAACUCCGUGCCAGCAGCCGCGGUAAUACGGAGGAGCCGAGCGUUAUCCGGAUUUAUUGGGUUUAAAGGGAGCGUAGAUGGGUUGUUACGUCAGUUGUGAAAGUUUGCGGCUCAACCGUAAAAUUGCAAUUGAUACUGGCAGUCUUGAGUACAGUUGAGGUAGGCGGAAUUCGUGGUGUAGCGGUGAAAUGCUUAGAUAUCACGAAGAACUCCGAUUGCGAAGGCAGCUUACUAAACUGCCACUGACAUUGAUGCUCGAAAGUGUGGGUAUCAAACAGGAUUAGAUACCCGAGUAGUC
rnacentral:rRNA from 1 species